GGACAUGCUGGAAAUGUGUCCAGUUAAUGGAGGUGUUCACUUUUCAGAAGAUAAACAAGCUGUUCUUUCUGCUCCAGCCAAGAUGGUUUAUGCGGACAACACAACUUGUCCUGUGACUGUUAUGACCAGCAAGUGUCCUGUCGACAUCGUGUCCAUAUCAGACAGCAGUUUAUGGAGUCCUGUCGCACUAAGUCUGGGUUUAACCG